rnacentral:rRNA from 1 species
GCCGCAGUAUUUUGACUGUGCAAAGGUAGCAUAAUCAUUAGUUUUUUAAUUGGAAGCUGGAAUGAAUGGUUGGAUGAGGAAGUAACUGUCUCAUUUUAAUUUGUUGAACUUUAUUUUUGAGUUAAAAAGCUUAAAUUUUAUAGAAAGACGAGAAGACCCUAUAGAGUUUGAUAGAGUUCAUUAUUUGGUUUUUUAGGUUUUUAUUUUUAAUUGAGUUUGACUUUAUUUUGUUGGGGUGAUAUGAAAAUUGGUUGAACUUUUCAUUAUUUUUACAUUGAUUUAUGGUUUAUUGAUCCUGAAGAUUUGGAUUUAUAGUUUAAAUUACCUUAGGGAUAACAGCGUAAUUCUUUUAGAGAGUUCUAAUCGAUAAGGGAGAUUGCGACCUCGAUGUUGGAUUAAAGUUAAUUUUUGGUGCAGAAGCUAGAAUUUUG